GCACCGGUGGCUCAGUGAGUAGGGCGCCAGAGUCAUAUACUGAAGGUGGCCGGUUCAAACCCGGCCCCGACCA
rnacentral:tRNA from 1 species